UCCCUUAGAUGUUCUGGGCCGCACGCGCGCUACAAUGAUGAAUUCAACGAGUUUAUAACCUUGGUUGAAAAGCCUGGGUAAUCUUUUGAACUUUCGUCGUGAUGGGGCUAGACCCUUGCAAUUAUUGGUCUCCAACGAGGAAUUCCUAGUAAACGCAAGUCAUCAGCUUGUAUUGAUUACGUCCCUGCCCUUUGUACACACCGCCCGUCGCACCUACCGAUUGAAUGGUCCGGUGAAAUCUUCGGAUUGAGACUUUGAUUUCUUCACGGAAAACGCUGUUUUAAGAAGUUGAUUAAACCUUACCAUUUAGAGGAAGGUGAAGUCGUAACA
rnacentral:rRNA from 1 species